GAGUUUGAUCAUGGCUCAGGACGAACGCUGGCGGCGUGCCUAACACAGCAAGUCGAGCGGGAACCUGAGGAGGGGUAACCCUCCUCAGGGGAGAGCGGCGAACGGGUGAGUAACACGUGGGCAACCUGCCCCGGACACCGGGAUAACCCAGGGAAACCUGGGCUAAUACCGGAUACUCCGGCCGGAUCGCAUGGUCCGACCGGGAAAGCUCCGACGGUCCGGGAUGGACCCGCGGCCUAUCAGCUCGUUGGUGGAGUAACGGCCCACCAAGGCGACGACGGGUAGCUGGUCUGAGAGGACGGCCAGCCACACUGGGACUGAGACACGGCCCAGACUCCUACGGGAGGCAGCAGUGGGGGAUCUUGCGCUAAUGCGCGAAAGCGUGACGCAGCGACGCCGCGUGCGGGAUGAAGGCCCUCGGGUCGUAAACCGCUUUCGGCAGGGACGAAGCGAGAGUGACGGUACCUGCAGAAGAAGUCCCGGCUAACUACGUGCCAGCAGCCGCGGUAACAC
rnacentral:rRNA from 1 species